rnacentral:rRNA from 1 species
AGCGAACGCUGGCGGCAGGCUUAACACAUGCAAGUCGAGCGGGCAUCCUUGUGGUGUCAGCGGCAGGCGGGUGAGUAACGCGUGGGAGCGUGCCCUUCGGUUCGGAAUAACUCAGGGAAACUUGAGCUAAUACCGGAUACGUGCGAGAGCAGAAAGGUUUAUCUGCCGAAGGAUCGGCCCGCGUCUGAUUAGCUAGUUGGUGAGGUUAUGGCUCACCAAGGCGACGAUCAGUAGCUGGUCUGAGAGGAUGAUCAGCCACACUGGGACUGAGACACGGCCCAGACUCCUACGGGAGGCAGCAGUGGGGAAUAUUGGACAAUGGGGGCAACCCUGAUCCAGCCAUGCCGCGUGAGUGAUGACGGCCUUAGGGUUGUAAAGCUCUUUUCUCCGGGACGAUAAUGACGGUACCGGAGGAAUAAGCCCCGGCUAACUUCGUG